rnacentral:rRNA from 1 species
CCUACGGGAGGCAGCAGUGGGGAAUUUUGGACAAUGGGGGCAACCCUGAUCCAGCCAUGCCGCGUGCGGGAAGAAGGCCUUCGGGUUGUAAACCGCUUUCGGCCGGAACGAAAUCGGCGGGAUGAAUAGUCUUGCUGGAUGACGGUACCGGAAGAAGAAGCACCGGCUAACUACGUGCCAGCAGCCGCGGUAAUACGUAGGGUGCGAGCGUUAAUCGGAAUUACUGGGCGUAAAGCGUGCGCAGGCGGCCGCGUAAGCCAGAGGUGAAAUCCCCGGGCUCAACCUGGGAAUGGCCUUUGGGACUGUGUGGCUGGAGUGCGGCAGAGGGGGGUGGAAUUCCUGGUGUAGCAGUGAGAUGCGUAGAGAUCAGGAGGAACACCGAUGGCGAAGGCAGCCCCCUGGGCCAGCACUGACGCUCAGGCACGAAAGCGUGGGGAGCAAACAGGAUUAGAUACCCUGGUAGUCCACGCCCUAAACGAUGACGACUAGUUGUUGGGGGAGUUUAUCCCUUAGUAACGUAGCUAACGCGUGAAGUCGUCCGCCUGGGGAGUACGGUCGCAAGAUUAAAACUCAAAGGAAUUGACGG